rnacentral:rRNA from 1 species
AGAGUUUGAUCCUGGCUCAGGAUGAACGCUGGCGGUAUGCUUAACACAUGCAAGUCGAACGGUCUCUUCGGAGAUAGUGGCGGACGGGUGAGUAACGCGUGAGAAUCUGGCUUCAGGUCGGGGACAACCACUGGAAACGGUGGCUAAUACCGGAUAUGCCGAGAGGUGAAAGGCUUGCCGCCUGAAGAUGAGCUCGCGUCUGAUUAGCUAGUAGGUGUGGUAAAGGCGCACCUAGGCGACGAUCAGUAGCUGGUCUGAGAGGAUGAUCAGCCACACUGGGACUGAGACACGGCCCAGACUCCUACGGGAGGCAGCAGUGGGGAAUUUUCCGCAAUGGGCGAAAGCCUGACGGAGCAAUACCGCGUGAGGGAGGAAGGCUCUUGGGUUGUAAACCUCUUUUCUCAGGGAAGAAAAAAAUGACGGUACCUGAGGAAUAAGCAUCGGCUAACUCCGUGCCAGCAGCCGCGGUAAUACGGAGGAUGCAAGCGUUAUCCGGAAUGAUUGGGCGUAAAGGGUCCGCAGGUGGCUAUGUAAGUCUGCUGUUAAAGAACUUAGCUUAACUAGGUAAAAGCAGUGGAAACUACAAGGCUAGAGUGCGUUCGGGGUAGAGGGAAUUCCUGGUGUAGCGGUGAAAUGCGUAGAUAUCAGGAAGAACACCAGUGGCGAAGGCGCUCUACUAGGCCGCAACUGACACUGAGGGACGAAAGCUAGGGGAGCGAAUGGGAUUAGAUACCCCAGUAGUCCUAGCCGUAAACGAUGGAUACUAGGCGUGGCUUGUAUCGACCCGAGCCGUGCCGGAGCUAACGCGUUAAGUAUCCCGCCUGGGGAGUACGCAGGCAACUGUGAAACUCAAAGGAAUCGACGGGGGCCCGCACAAGCGGUGGAGUAUGUGGUUUAAUUCGAUGCAACGCGAAGAACCUUACCAAGACUUGACAUGUCGCGAAUCUUUCUGAAAGGAGAGAGUGCCUUCGGGAGCGCGAACACAGGUGGUGCAUGGCUGUCGUCAGCUCGUGUCGUGAGAUGUUGGGUUAAGUCCCGCAACGAGCGCAACCCUCGUUUUUAGUUGCCAGCAUUAAGUUGGGCACUCUAGAGAGACUGCCGGUGACAAACCGGAGGAAGGUGGGGAUGACGUCAAGUCAGCAUGCCCCUUACGUCUUGGGCUACACACGUACUACAAUGCUACGGACAAAGGGUAGCUACACAGCAAUGUGAUGCCAAUCUCAGAAACCGUAGCUCAGUUCAGAUCGCAGGCUGCAACUCGCCUGCGUGAAGGAGGAAUCGCUAGUAAUUGCAGGUCAGCAUACUGCAGUGAAUUCGUUCCCGGGCCUUGUACACACCGCCCGUCACACCAUGGAAGCUGGUCACGCCCGAAGUCGUUACCCCAACUUUUCGGAGAGGGGGAUGCCGAAGGCAGGACUGGUGACUGGGGUGAAGUCGUAACAAGGUAGCCGUACCGGAAGGUGUGGCUGGAUCACCUCCUUUUAGGGAGACCGAAUCCACUCAACAUCGAAAACAGACUGUGAUUAGAUACUGAGUUGGUCAUUCCUAGGUCGGUCGAGAAUUGGUGAAAGCUUUCAAAGUAUUUUUGGUUCAGUUCAUUCAUAAACAUCUAAAUUUCCCAUCGGAAAAGAUUCAGCAAUUGAUUGAAAGAACAAUCGAACUGCUGGGUGAUUAUCCAGCCAGAACCUUGAAAACUGCAUAGUAACGCGAAAAAAAAGCAGGCAGACGAAACUGAGUGCUGAAUACGGAGAUUGUGAAUACUGAAUCAAAUCAGUGGACAGAAUCAAGUAAACAGAAGUCAGAAAAGUUUGCAGAAACACCAAUGAAAAUGU